GCAAUUCCAACACAAGUAAAAAGGGGUCAAUUAAGACAAAUACUGCUCCGUAAUUGAAAAGUUUUGUUUUAAUAUUCCAAAGAAAGUGGAAGGUAAUCUUGAUGAUGUUGUUCUUUUGGCCACCAUGAUGAUUUACCCCAAAAAAGAAAAAAAUCGAACUUUUACCCAAAAAUAAAGUUUACAAAUAAUUAGGAGUAAAGUCGAAAAUGAAAUUGAUAAAAGUUUGAUUAUGUAAUGUAAGUUUGUAAGUCCAGGAGAGGUAGGCUUAUUUUCU
rnacentral:lncRNA from 1 species